rnacentral:rRNA from 1 species
GUUGUAUGGUUAAGUGACUAAGCGUACACGGUGGAUGCCUUGGCAGUCAGAGGCGAUGAAGGACGUAUUAACUUGCGAUAAGCCCAGAUUAGACAGUAAAAGUCAUCUGAGUCUGGGAUUUCCGAAUGGGGAAACCCACUUACAUAAGUAAGUAUCUUGUUGUGAAUACAUAGCA